rnacentral:tRNA from 1 species
GGGGGUAUAGCUUAGUGGCAGAUUACAUGCUUAGCAUGUAUGAAGCCCUGGGUUCUGUCCCCAGUACUUCCA